rnacentral:rRNA from 1 species
GUAGGGUGCAAGCGUUAUUCGGAAUUACUGGGCGUAAAGCGUGCGCAGGCGGCUUUGCAAGUCAGAUGUGAAAUCCCCGGGCUUAACCUGGGAACUGCAUUUGUGACUGCAUGGCUGGAGUGCGGCAGAGGGGGAUGGAAUUCCGCGUGUAGCAGUGAAAUGCGUAGAUAUGCGGAGGAACACCGAUGGCGAAGGCAAUCCCCUGGGCCUGCACUGACGCUCAUGCACGAAAGCGUGGGGAGCAAACAGG